rnacentral:rRNA from 1 species
GACGAACGCUGGCGGCGUGCUUAACACAUGCAAGUCGAACGGUAAGGCUCCAGCUUGCUGGGGUACACGAGUGGCGAACGGGUGAGUAACACGUGGGUGACCUGCCCUGCACUUCGGGAUAAGCCUGGGAAACUGGGUCUAAUACCGGAUAGGACCGCACCGUGAGGGUGUGGUGGAAAGUUUUUUCGGUGUGGGAUGGGCCCGCGGCCUAUCAGCUUGUUGGUGGGGUAAUGGCCUACCAAGGCGGCGACGGGUAGCCGGCCUGAGAGGGUGGACGGCCACAUUGGGACUGAGACACGGCCCAGACUCCUACGGGAGGCGGCAGUGGGGAAUAUUGCACAAUGGGCGGAAGCCUGAUGCAGCGACGCCGCGUGGGGGAUGACGGCCUUCGGGUUGUAAACUCCUUUCACCAUCGACGAAGGGUUUCUGACGGUAGAUGGAGAAGAAGCACCGGCUAACUACGUGCCAGCAGCCGCGGUAAUACGUAGGGUGCGAGCGUUGUCCGGAAUUACUGGGCGUAAAGAGCUCGUAGGUGGUUUGUCGCGUCGUCUGUGAAAUUCCGGGGCUUAACUCCGGGCGUGCAGGCGAUACGGGCAUAACUUGAGUACUGUAGGGGAGACUGGAAUUCCUGGUGUAGCGGUGAAAUGCGCAGAUAUCAGGAGGAACACCGGUGGCGAAGGCGGGUCUCUGGGCAGUAACUGACGCUGAGGAGCGAAAGCAUGGGGAGCGAACAGGAUUAGAUACCCUGGUAGUCCAUGCCGUAAACGGUGGGCGCUAGGUGUGGGUUUCCUUCCACGGGAUCCGUGCCGUAGCUAACGCAUUAAGCGCCCCGCCUGGGGAGUACGGCCGCAAGGCUAAAACUCAAAGGAAUUGACGGGGGCCCGCACAAGCGGCGGAGCAUGUGGAUUAAUUCGAUGCAACGCGAAGAACCUUACCUGGGCUUGACAUAUACAGGAUCGCGCCAGAGAUGGUGUUUCCCUUGUGGCUUGUAUACAGGUGGUGCAUGGUUGUCGUCAGCUCGUGUCGUGAGAUGUUGGGUUAAGUCCCGCAACGAGCGCAACCCUUGUCUUAUGUUGCCAGCACGUUGUGGUGGGGACUCGUAAGAAACUGCCGGGGUUAACUCGGAGGAAGGUGGGGAUGACGUCAAAUCAUCAUGCCCCUUAUGUCCAGGGCUUCACACAUGCUACAAUGGUCGGUACAGUGGGUUGCCAGUCCGUGAGGGCGAGCUAAUCCCGCAAAGCCGGUCUCAGUUCGGAUCGGGGUCUGCAACUCGACCCCGUGAAGUCGGAGUCGCUAGUAAUCGCAGAUCAGCAACGCUGCGGUGAAUACGUUCCCGGGCCU